rnacentral:pre_miRNA from 1 species
AGUAGGAUAGCUGGGUCAAAUGGUGAUUCAAUUCCAAGUUUUCUCAGGAAUCUCCAUACUGCUUUCCAUAAUGGUUGCACCAAUUUGCAGUCCAACUAGCAAU